rnacentral:piRNA from 1 species
UAAAAACACUGUUGAGUACCAGCCUU